GAUCGAACGUUUAUGCGAAAGAACGACAGAACGUGACAGAGAGCGAGGGACGCGUGUCUUCGCUGAGAGCGUCGGCAACGAGGUCGAAAUUACGAAGGUGAGCCUUUAUUUCGUCGCGGACGCGCGGGGGGUACCUAUAAGAGCGGCGAGACACGACGGAGAGUGGAAAGUUUUGACGCCACCCUAUAAAUCAAGCCGCGGGUUCGCUCGGCCGAAACGUUGCACGGUCUCACCCCGGUUCUCCAGAGUUUCGCUCACCGUAUGUCUCCUUCGCCUCUCGGCACAGACAGCUUGUACAAGGUAUCCAUCCUGCCAACUAUAUCUCCACGAGAUAAACUCAGGUACCUCAUCCCCCGGAGAAACUCCAGGAAAGAUCAGACCACCCUGCGACGUCCCUAACACUAACUAGCAACGAAGUGGUCUAUCCCAAAGGAACCGGCGAUAAUCGAAAGAAAACCGAACUAGGGUCUACCCAAUUCCACUAUAGACAACAGGCUUCUGUCCAUGUCUUGCCUAUAGGAAAUACGUUUCCGGUAGCCUGUCCGGCUGUCCGUAGGAGUCGCAUGACAGAUAGAAAGGAGCGUGGAACACAGAAGGGGAGAAGAAAAGACAGAGAAAACCGACAGAGAGGCCAGCAAGCAAGAAAAGCAAGAUAUUGGGAGGAGGAGUGGUGAUGGGGCAGGGUGAGAAGCGAGGAUUCGGCGGAGUGGUUGGUUCAGGGGUUGGUAUUGGAUGCUGCCUCGGCGAAGCUCACGGUAGGGGUAGUUUGACAAGUUGACAAGAGCACAAAGGUCGUGGCGGAGCCGCAAGAGACGUGGAAGGGGAGGAAGGGCGAGGGCUGCACGUAGCGCAGCCUAGAAAAGAGGAGUGUGGGAAGAGGAGGCGUCGCGAUGCUCAGCGUCCGACGGAGGGUUACCGGAUAGGGUAGUAGGGGGUUGAAAGCCCGGUAGAUUCAACGCCGUGAACAAAGGCCGGCUGGCUUCGCCCCGCUGCCUACUCUCGGACUUUGGAAACGAGAUCACAUACACAUGCCACGGUGUGUGUGUUGUAUGCGUGUGAGAACGCCACGAACCGUGUGCACCACCGGUAUACCGCCCAGAAGGGGAGUCGGAGUUUGCUCGCUCGACCCGAUAGAUACGAGCGAGCCGGGCCUAAUAUCGAAAGUUCCUGGCUCGAGCUGAAACCGUGCUUAAUUAAAUCGGAAGGCCGUGAGAGAUAACCGGCGCGUCCCUCCUACGAUGCUCGACGAGAGCGUCUGGAAAACACCCGUGUACUAUGGAUGGGGUUCAUGACGUGGCAA
rnacentral:misc_RNA from 1 species